UCUCUUGCAAAAGAAAUUAAUUUUUUUUAUUCAAGAAGAUAAAUAUGUAUUUUUUUGGAGACAUUUAGGUGUCUAACAAUCCGAAAAUACAAUGAGAAAGAUACAAAAAGUGUCAAAAUUAUUGUUGGAAAUAUUUCGUGUUUGAGGUUGAUUAUGCAAUUGCGAUUGAAUUAGAGAUGAGAAAUUCCAUAUAAAUAACAUAAAUCCCAAGAUAUGCAUAACCUAACGGGUGUAGAUUUUUGUUCUAAUGGAAAAAUUCCUCCAUUCUGUUACUACUGCUAUCCAUGGCGAAGAAGAAAGGAAAAAAAAUCUUUCUGUUCGUUGCUUCUUCUUUUUUUAAAAUUUGUUUGAUGUAUGAAUUUUUUUGUGUGUAUAGCUUCUUUUUGUUGUAGUUUCUUCUUUAUUAAUGAUUGCUCACUCUCUCUAUUAUUGUUGUUACUUGAAUUUUGAAGAAAGAAAAAAAUGAUGUUCUAUUAUUUUUAAU
rnacentral:lncRNA from 1 species